AUCUUGACAUUGCUGCUGGUAUGGUGGUUUUCCCUACCAUGCAGGUUCUCUGCUGAUGCUGUGGGACCUGGGGAGUCCAUUUGUCUAAAGCAGGCAGCAUAUUGGGGAGGGAGAAGCGAGCUGGCAGAUGUUAGAAGGAGCGUUGUCCUAUCUGCAGAUGUGCUUCCUCUUCCAUGGGCCUACAAGCAGUUGAGAGAGGAUGUAUUCCUUGUAAAGCACUGACCAACACCAGAGGAGAGUGGAACCUUCAUUUAUUUUCCCCUUGGGCUACUCAAAUUAUGGAAAUCCUGCCAUGCCACCAUGCCAGUUCAGUUCUCCAUCACUUUCAUAGCAUUGGGUUUAGCCCUGCUGUACACAACACCAAUGAUGCUAGGAUCCAUCCCGCUGAUAUCCUGGGUGAUGGUGGUAUGUUGCUGUUGACUUUAUGGCUCAGUAGUGUUCUGUUCUCCUUUAUUUUUAUCUGCAUGUUACAAUUUCAAGAUUAUUUAUCCUGUAGUUUCAAGGAAACGUGAUAGCUGGUAUCACACGUGACCCAGUGAUAUCGUUGGGUCUGAUACCACUCAGAAGGAAUUAACACUGGAGAGUAAACUGAAGGGGGCCGCAAAGUGGACCUAAAAAGGGGAAGUGGAGGGAAGUUGGUACAUAAGGGGGAAAAAAGGAAAAAGUUUUGAAAUAGAUGGACUGGGAUGGAAGGUUCAGUGGUAGAGGUGGAGCAACCAGAAAGUGUGAUGUGAUGGUCAGUGUAGCUGAACUUCACUUGCUGAGUAGCCAGAAAAUCUGGGGAGGAGGGGCAGGGCUGUGUUUCAGUACAAGACAAACUUACCUUAGAGAUAAUUUUGCUCUAGAUGCAUUGGCUUGGUGACCUUAAGACUCGAACUGGGUGUUUUACUCAUAGCAAUGAUAGCAAUAUCAUAUCGUGUUUGCACAGGGUGCAGCUUUUCUUAUUAUCAUGGCUAGAAUGCACAACUACUUGGAUUCACACACUUUGUGGUUUAAUUAAACCUUAUCUUCAGCUCUAAGAUCAUGUCCCCGAUGUGAUUGAGCAAUGGCAGUAGCUGCCCUCAAGUAGUUUUUGUUCCCAGAGCUGCCUUUUCUAACCUUUGACAUGAUCCAGGCAGUGACUGUCAGCAGAGCAUUUUGCAGCAUGGUGGAGGCUCGUGGCACUGCAGGAUUGUCUUUUGUGUGUUGACAGGGACUUUCACCUCCUCCAUGCUGUGGUCUCCCUGGCAUUCCUGCGCUCCCUUGUUCUCUGCUGGUUUCACUGUGAAGCCCUCCAAAAUACUACCUGCCAGUGCUUGUGUUUGCCUGCUGCUCCUCUGAGGACCUAGGUCCUGGAGCUUCUGCCUGUGGCAUGGUGCCAACUUUAAGAGACUAAUCUUGCUGCAUGUUACAGGACCGACCACAUCCUCCUCUCCAUGGAGACGGGUGUGAGCAGCAGCAGAGAGUGAGCUGGAGUAGCCUUUAUCCUCCCCACACCUUGCAGCUGCCAGCAGCUACUUUCUGUUGCUCCCAUUGUCCACCUGCACAGAGGCUCUCAGGAACAUGGAAAAAAACAAGGCCUGACCUCUCACCAUGCCAGGGUGCCUGAGGGUCAGGGAGAAGAUCUCAGCAUGCAGAAAUCUGGAGAAAGAUGUCUUUCAUUUUUGUUUCCAAGUCAGCCCUCUUGCACAGUCAGAGAUCUCCAUGAAUGGAGGAAGACCACUCACGCCAAACCAUCUCUGAGCUCAUGAUCAAGGAAACAGGGUCACUGUGUUUAGGGUGAGAAGCUUAUACCCACUGGUAUAACACAUGUACUUGCUCAGGGAAGUAAAGUGUGGGUUAUUUAUUUAAUCCUUGGAGCAAUCUGACUUUUUUCUUUCCUCUCUGAGAAAACUCCAGAGAUGAGUUAAGACAAGAUAGUUUUUGUUGUUUUUUUUUUUUUUAAUUAAGGACUUACUGAAUUUGUCACUCCAUAUUGCUUCUGACACAGUGAAAGCUGUAAAUUAAUAUUGAAGCCUGUAAGUCUAAUUUAUCUGCCUAUUUCCACCACUUUGACAGCAUAAGAAGAUGGCAAACUGGGCAUGUAUGUGAUGAAUAUGCACAAAAAAAUGUAUGUGCCAACAAAAUAGAUACAAAUAUCCUUAAUACAAAUGGGAAUUAGGCUUCCAGCAUCCAGGAGUUAUUGACAGCUCAUGAUACUUGUCAGCAGCAAUGAUGAUAAAUCUCAGCAAUUCAGAAGCUUAUCAGUUCUCACCUUUCUCACAUUGCAUACUUAGUACACAAGAUGCUCCUUGGAACUGAAGAAAAGAGACCACUGAGUAAAUAAAUAUGAGCUUUUCCCACUGUUUGUUUUUUGGUUGGUUGGUUUUUUUUGUUGGGGUUUUUUUUUUUUCCAGCCUACAGAAGCAAUCUAAGGACUUCUAUAGUGCAGACUUUUCUUUUCCUUUUCUCUUGAAUUAACCAAAACCUUUUUUUCUAAAUGGUAAGGCAGUGGAAAUAGACAGUAAAAAUAAAAAUAGUAAGCAAAAUGUGCCACAGUGAGAUGAAUAAGGACUCUGUAUCUCGUGUGGAUUUGCUUUGAGGGGGUGCUGUGGGAUCCUAGUGCUGCAGUUACACUUGCAUGAGCAUCUGCUCCUCUUUCCACUACUUGUCUGAACCUUGUUGACCCACAUCUGAGGUCACAGUGAAAAGUCUGACACCAAGUGUGCAUCUGAAAGGUCAAGUGCACCAAAAAGCCAGGAAGGGCAGUAUGCACCCCUUCAACCCUGGUCAGAACCCCCUCUACCCCAGCCCUUGGGGUUAUCCAUGGAGAGCAGGGCAGGGAGGGGAAAGGAUGUGAGAGCAGUAUAGGAGAACACGGUACCAAGACUUCGGCCUCCCAUGGGCAGGCUGCUGCAGAAGACCAAAUCUGCCAGCUGGGAGAUUUUACAGAGCCCUGUGUAAAAUAAAUACUAC